AAGAAUUAGUUAAUAUUAUAACAUAAAUAUGUCAAAUUUAUAUAAUUACCUAUGUAAUAUUCUUUU
rnacentral:tRNA from 1 species